GAUGAACGCUGGCGGCGUGCCUAAUACAUGCGAGUCGAGCGAACGGACGAGAAGCUUGCUUUUCUGAUGUUAGCGGCGGACGGGUGAGUAACACGUGGAUAACCUACCUAUAAGACUGGGAUAACUUCGGGAAACCGGAGCUAAUACCGGAUAAUAUUUUGAACCGCAUGGUUCAAAAGUGAAAGACGGUCUUGCUGUCACUUAUAGAUGGAUCCGCGCUGCAUUAGCUAGUUGGUAAGGUAACGGCUUACCAAGGCAACGAUGCAUAGCCGACCUGAGAGGGUGAUCGGCCACACUGGAACUGAGACACGGUCCAGACGCCUACGGGAGGCAGCAGUAGGGAAUCUUCCGCAAUGGGCGAAAGCCUGACGGAGCAACGCCGCGUGAGUGAUGAAGGUCUUCGGAUCGUAAAACUCUGUUAUUAGGGAAGAACAUAUGUGUAAGUAACUGUGCACAUCUUGACGGUACCUAAUCAGAAAGCCACGGCUAACUACGUG
rnacentral:rRNA from 1 species